GUACUGAUGAAGAGUCCCAGUCUAGGACGAAACAGCUGUCCAGUAC
rnacentral:hammerhead_ribozyme from 1 species